rnacentral:rRNA from 1 species
GAUGAACGCUGGCGGCGUGCCUAAUACAUGCAAGUCGAGCGAACGGACGAGAAGCUUGCUUCUCUGAUGUUAGCGGCGGACGGGUGAGUAACACGUGGAUAACCUACCCAUAAGACUGGGAUAACUUCGGGAAACCGGAGCUAAUACCGGAUAAUAUUUUGAACCGCAUGGUUCAAAAGUGAAAGACGGUCUUGCUGUCACUUAUAGAUGGAUCCGCGCUGCAUUAGCUAGUUGGUAAGGUAACGGCUUACCAAGGCAACGAUGCAUAGCCGACCUGAGAGGGUGAUCGGCCACACUGGAACUGAGACACGGUCCAGACUCCUACGGGAGGCAGCAGUAGGGAAUCUUCCGCAAUGGGCGAAAGCCUGACGGAGCAACGCCGCGUGAGUGAUGAAGGUCUUCGGAUCGUAAAACUCUGUUAUUAGGGAAGAACAUAUGUGUAAGUAACUGUGCACAUCUUGACGGUACCUAAUCAGAAAGCCACGGCUAGCUACGUG